AUUUUAUGUAAUGUAAUAAUGUAGUAUUAACAUAUGUACGCUUGUCGAUUCAUUAAUAUUUAUCGAGUCUCCAUUAAUCUUAUAAUUCUUCCAAUUGUCAACUGUAAGUUACAGCAGUUAUCAUCUGAUAUUAAAAAUUGAAAAUGCAGAGCAACUUAUGGAAUGACCUGAUAUUACGACGUCUGGUAUCCGCAAUUUCAUCGUUGCAAGAAUCAAGAUACGUUACCGAGGAUAAACAUAGUUUCGCAGUGGAAGGAACGAACAGAACAAGUACAGAAGGAAUCGAACGUCUGAAGCAACAAUAACAGGCGAUGUCGCAUCAGUAGCUAGCAAAGAGGCCGACGAGGCGAU
rnacentral:misc_RNA from 1 species